rnacentral:rRNA from 1 species
AUUGAACGCUGGCGGCAUGCUUUACACAUGCAAGUCGAACGGUAACAGGGUGCUUGCACCGCUGACGAGUGGCGAACGGGUGAGUAAUGCGUCGGAACGUGCCGAGUAGUGGGGGAUAACGCAGCGAAAGUUGUGCUAAUACCGCAUACGUACUGAGGUAGAAAGUGGGGGACCUUCGGGCCUCACGCUAUUCGAGCGGCCGACGUCUGAUUAGCUAGUAGGUCGGGUAAAGGCUCACCUAGGCGACGAUCAGUAGCGGGUCUGAGAGGAGGAUCCGCCACACUGGGACUGAGACACGGCCCAGACUCCUACGGGAGGCAGCAGUGGGGAAUUUUGGACAAUGGGCGAAAGCCUGAUCCAGCCAUGCCGCGUGUCUGAAGAAGGCCUUCGGGUUGUAAAGGACUUUUGUCGGGGAGGAAAUCCCCAGCGUUAAUACCGCUGGGGGAUGACAGUACCUGAAGAAUAAGCACCGGCUAACUACGUGCCAGCCGCCGCAGUAAGAC